AACCCAGUGAGGAAGAUAACCCAUUGAUAGGAAGUGCCGUAUGACACUUUAAUCCGCAGCGACCACACUGUGAGCCGUCUUGAUCCCAUCCACCAGUCAGCGAUGAUUUGGUCGGGACCAAGCUUCUCCGGUGUACCGCUGUGUGGGUGAUUUGAAACGGGACUCUGAGGGUU